UUUUGUUAAAGAAAGUGAAACUCUAGGGAGGUAGUACUUUAAUCCUAAUCUGCACUUGUAUAGUCUUUUAUUUUUUUGCACAGGUUCGUAUUUAAUUACUUGGUUCAUUAUGAAAUACUAGAUGUUGUUUCCCAGAUGCUUGACUUGGUGCAUAUUUUUAGCUCAGGGCAAGCUCUUCAAGGGCUCCUUCAAUCUCGAAUGAUGUUUAUCGCUUUGUACAAAUGGGGUUCUCUGAACAGUUGGUGAUUCGAGCAAUUAAUGAAAACAGUAUAUCAUCCUUCAAUUCACUAUCAUCUCUCUCUGUUUUUUUUUAUUAUUAUUAUUAUUAUGAUUCAAGCAAUUGAAGAAAAUGGAAAUUCAAGCUUUUGGCCUCACUGUUUCCAGAGAAAGAUGAAGCAUCAAUUUUGGAUGCUCUUCUAACAUACAUUGCUCUCGAAAGCUCCCUUGAAGAAAAACAAUGUGUUUUCAGUGAACCAAAUCCAAAUUGAAUCUGAAAGCAACUCGCCGGAUAACCCUUAUGAAGAUAGCUGUUGGAAACAAUGGAUGAUGUGUUAGAAAAUGAGAAUAUGCUGCCACUGAUGAUGGAUAUGGUUACCUAGCUGAGGAGGUCUUGGGCAGCCACGAAGAAAUGUGGUAUGCUUAUGGUCCCCCUGCCCAAGUAACAGAGUUGACCGAUUACAUACAUGAUGCUCGAAUGGAGAAGGAACACGCCCGCCAUAUUUUUAUUAUGAAAAUGUGGCCUUUGCUCCCAAGGGGGGGGGGUGGAGCACAAUGUCUUGCUUCUUGUAUGAUAUUAAGCCAGAGUUUGUUGAUUCCCUCCACUUUUGUGCUGCUGCCAGAAAAAGAGUUUAUAUUCAUAACCGAUUCCCUUCAUUGCCAAGACAACCACUUUCUAUACAAGAAGCUUUGACCUCAACCAGUAAAUGGUGGCCUUCAUGGGAUCCAAGAACCAAGCUCAACUGCCUCGUCGUCACUGUUAUCGGGAGUGCAAAACUCACUGAAAGGAUGAAAGAUCCAUUGGUGAGCCUGCUCGAAGUGACAAACAGUGUGUGCUCCAAGAAUGUAGGAAGUGGAAUUUGAUUUGGGUAUGGAAAAACAAAGUAGCACCCCUAGAACCUGAUGAAUUAGAGAUGCUGCUAGGAUACCCCAGGUACCAGACAAGAGGUGGAGGGGUUAGUAUUACAGAGAGAUAUAAAAUACUGGGAAACUCAUUUCAGGUUGACACAGUUGCUUGCCACCUUUCAGUUUUGAAAGAUGUCUGUUCUCUGGUAUUGGUGGAGCUGAAGUUGCUCUUCAUCGACUUGGAAUUCCUUUGAAAAAUGUGGUAUCUGUCGAGAUUUCAGUUUCCAAAAGAGAUGUUAUCCGAAGUUGGUGGGAACAGACAAACCAAAAGGGAAAUCUAAUUGAGAUUACAGACAUACAAACAAUCAAUGGUUCUGAUAUUGAGACGUGGAUCAGAUCAUUUGGGGGGUUCGAUCUUGUCAUUGGUGGCAAUAGAGUGAGCCGAGAUCGCCUUGAGGGUCAACAUUGUUCUCUCUUUUAUCAGUAUGUUAGAGUUCUUGGCCUAGUUAGAAAUAUGAUGUCGUGAUAUGAUGCUUAUUGAGUUAGCAAUGUAGGGUAUGACCAAUUGGUUUCUUUGAUAGAAAUAAUUUUUAUGGGCAUGACACUAAGAAAAAAUUAUUUCGAGA